AAGACCUUGCGCUUUUGGAGCGGCCGAUGCCUGAUUAGCUAGUUGGUGGGGUAAUGGCCUACCAAAGCUUCGAUCAGUAGCUGGUCUGAGAGGACGGCCAGCCACACUGGGACCGAGACACGGCCCAGACUCCUACGGGAGGCAGCAGUGGGGAAUUUUGGACAAUGGGCGCAAGCCUGAUCCAGCCAUGCCGCGUGAGUGAAGAAGGCCUUCGGGUUGUAAAGCUCUUUCAGCCGGGAAGAAAAGGUUGCGAUUAAUAAUCGCAAUUUAUGACGGUACCGGAAGAAGAAGCACCGGCUAACUACGUGCCAGCAGCCGCGGUAAUACGUAGGGUGCGAGCGUUAAUCGGAAUUACUGGGCGUAAAGGGUGCGCAGGCGGUUUUGUAAGUCAGAUGUGAAAUCCCCGGGCUUAACCUGGGAACU
rnacentral:rRNA from 1 species